rnacentral:rRNA from 1 species
GACGAACCUUGCUAACGUUAUUCGGAAUUACUGGGCUUAAAGGGUGCGUAGGCGGCGCGGAAAGUUGGGUGUGAAAUCCCUCGGCUCAACCGAGGAACUGCGCCCAAAACUACCGUGCUCGAGGGAGAUAGAGGUGAGCGGAACUUAGGGUGGAGCGGUGAAAUGCGUUGAUAUCCUAAGGAACACCUGUGGCGAAAGCGGCUCACUGGAUCUCUUCUGACGCUGAGGCACGAAAGCUAGGGUAGCGAACGGG